rnacentral:rRNA from 1 species
UACAGAGGGUGCAAGCGUUAAUCGGAAUUACUGGGCGUAAAGCGCGCGUAGGUGGUUUGUUAAGUUGGAUGUGAAAUCCCCGGGCUCAACCUGGGAACUGCAUUCAAAACUGACAAGCUAGAGUAUGGUAGAGGGUGGUGGAAUUUCCUGUGUAGCGGUGAAAUGCGUAGAUAUCUGGAGGAACACCCGUGGCGAAGGCGGCUCUCUGGUCCGAAACUGACGCUGAGGUGCGAAAGCUAGGGUAGCAAACAGGAUUAGAAACCCUUGUAGU